rnacentral:tRNA from 1 species
GCCAGGGUACUCAAGUGGUCAACGAGGGCAGUCUGUAAAACUGCUGGCUCCGCCUUCAUAGGUUCGAAUCCUAUCCCUGGCA